UAUCACUUUCAGUAUUGAUUAUGGCCCAAUGGGAGGGUGUGGCUUGUGUCAGAGUCAUUGGCCCUGUGAACUAAACCCCAAGAUUAGGUAGAUGUACGCACUGGACCAGGGCAGCAACUCCCCUCACACUACCAGAAGGACCUCAGAACCUGGAGAUGCUACAGCAUAAAAUUAUGUGCCUUCGUCCUGAGAUAGAGAAACUCUGUGACUGACCUAAAGAGACUGAUUGGUCCCAUGGGUCUACAUCAUUUUCAAGUACAAGAAGAAGCGGUUAUGAAAAGUUUCAAGUUGUUUUAUUAGUCUUACUGGAAAUGUCACGACAACAUAUUUCAGUAUUUCCAGCCAACUUAUCUUCCUGUUUUGCCUAUGGGCUCUUCAACAUGUCAUCUCUCUCUACACGGUAUUUGCAGCCAGCUUCUCCUGGAACAUUUCUGCUGACAACACUCAAGUCAAAGUGUACCUCUUCAAUGGAGGAAGCAACACUAAAGAAAAAUACUACUGGUGUCAAAAUUCCAGCUGAGUUUUAUUCACUUUGAUUUACCCCAUAACUAGACUCAGUGUCUACAAGCAAUGUGAACCAGUGAGUUGAACAAUUAGCUACUGAAUAUUGUCCCUGAAGCUGCUUUUCUCCCUGUUGUUUCUUAGUGUCGUGAUUAUCAGAACAGUUACUUCUUCUUUUAUAGUGUAUAUGUAGCCAUAUCUCAAUCCCUGUGGCACAAAUAUUUAAUACAAUGAUCUUGGGGUGGUAGAAUUUUAUUGCUGAAAAAGUAUAGCUUCUGAUCAUGUUCCUAAAAUAAAGGUGUAAGUUAUAUAUAUAAUAUCUUGCCUGAAAGCUACAACAAAGGAAGCUUACAUUUUCUGACAGGACUUUUCAGGUUUUCUUUUGGAAUAUAUUUUUAGUAGAUGAGAAAAAAUUUUUGAUUUUGUGUUGUGAUUAUCGUGUAGAAACAGGAUAGACUCUCUGCCAUCCAAAAUUUUGUUCAGAUUUCAAUACUGGUGGUGCCAUACAUGCACCAAGAAGAUAUGAGAAGGUUUAGUACUCAGAAAAUGAACUUUUUUCAGAGAAUAGAGUGGUUUUUCAAUGGAUACAGAAUGGCUUGAAAGAGCAGGUAAAGGAGACUGGCUUGGGGUUUUUGUGAUGGUAAAGGUAGGUGUACUGGGGCAAAGUUUGUCUUAGCGGGAUUUAUGUGGUCUAAAUUUCUUACCAGUGCCAAUAGAAGGAGCACUGGGCUUUCGUAUCAAUUUGCCCAAGUUUAAGUCAAUAAGGGAAGAGGGAUGGUAAUAGCUUAAAAGCUUCAGCAGUCAAAUUGGAGGCAGACUCUUUAUUUUAAUUCACUUAUAUCAUUCUCUUCUUUAUGAAUAUUUGGUCUUAACUUACUGAUGAUACUUGGCAAAGUUUCUAGGACUCUUAUUAGUUGUUGACUAGAAGUGACUUUUUUGUAAGGUAGGGUGUUAUUAACAUGGCUUAUGAACUAGAAAUAAAUGAUGUGCAAGUUGUUAUCUAUAAUGAUGCUUAUUUGCCUGUUUUAUUUUCUUUUUAUACUUUAGGGUGUUUCUUUAUUGCCUGUGUUGAUACAGAGCAGUGUUUUUCAAACUUUAGGCAUGACUAAAAAUCACAUGGAAAUCUUGUUAAAACACAGAAUGCUACAUCCCAUUCCCAGAAUUUCUCAUAGUAGGUCUGAGGUAGGUCCCCAGAAUUUGAAUUUUAAACAAGCUCCCUUGAUGAUGCUGAUGUUACUGGUCCAGGGACUACAUAUUGGGGAUGUCUAAUUUACAGUUUUUGAAUUUUAAUAAUUUUUAUCAGUAUAUUAUCUCUUUGUAGGUACUCAGCUACAUGGAUAUGAUUGAAUAAUGAGUUUUGGUGUUUAUAUUAAAAGAGAAAAAUAUUUUAAUAAGAGUUCCAACUGCAGAGUUAUUUUAUUAUUUUCUAGUAUAGAUGUAGCCUGCACUAGUAUAGACUACUAAUUAUUGCUAUUUUAUUUUAAUUUAUUGCCACUAAAUUAAUUACACCUUGAUAAAUUUGUGACAUUGGGUAAAUCAUCAUAAAAAAUGUAAUGUGACCUGUGAC
ensembl:lincRNA